CUUGACUAGCUCUUAUUGGCGGUUUUAUUCAAGAGAAGAUUCAUCCGGUGAAAAUUCAAGCAACUAUUACUGCACUAGCAAUUGGAUCGGUAAAUAGGCGAGAUCUGAAAGUUUCGGUAAAGUUUUAGAUUACAUGGCUUAGUUUCACACGCUCUUUAUAUUCUCAACCUUCCGACGCAAAUCACCAGAUUCAAUAAAUGAGUCCUACUCCUACACCUACUCUUAUCACUUGUAAUCCAAAAAAGCUCCAUUUCUUUCUUAUACGCUAAUUCACUAUUAAAUAGAAAUGUAUAUGCAAAACAGCGAGAAAUUUGUAGAUACGUUGAAUGUUGUUGCUUUCACAUUUGCAACUCUUAGUAGUUGUUCAAAACAACAAUGUCGAGCAAAGAUGUUUGCGAUGUUUGAAUGAUUCUUGGAUUGUAUUUGGAUUCCAUCGGUACUAUGGCCUGUUGAUUCGGCACCUUUGUCAUUUUAGCAACUUUUGUUUUCUUUUCUGUGUCGAUGUAGUUCUCUAUACCAUAUUCAUGUUCAUAUCAAUGUCCAUAUCAAGGUCCAUAUCAAUGUCCAUAUCAAUUUCCCAUGUUCCAUUACAUAUCCCGUGUUCUUUCCUUUCUUCCAGCUUUUACAUGCUAGCCUUUUAUACAAUGAUUCCUCUCAUCUCGACUCGCUUGAAUGAAUGGGGCGUUUAGUUUUUUGCAACAACAUNAUGCGUUGGGNUAUCUCAUAUCGGGNAAACACUUUCUGNCACUUUUAACUUUGAACAAAGUGGGANAAAUAAAGNG
rnacentral:sRNA from 1 species